rnacentral:lncRNA from 1 species
GGUGUAUUGCAUAGUUUUACCCUUUGAAUUUCACUCAAAUGUCACCAAAUGUCUCCGCCCACCAUAUUAUGAUGUUCCCCACGUUUUGGACUCAAUCCGAUAUCGAUUGGUCCAUGAAAUUGGACAAUUCAGGUUCGUACAAAGUUGGUUCUGAAAUGGAGUGGAUUGUGUAUUUCAAUGUUUUAGCCAUUGGAUUUCACUCACAAGUCACCAAAUGACUCCUCC